rnacentral:lncRNA from 1 species
GAGGUGGUGUUCAUCAGGAAUGGAUUGGGUGCAUAGACAUGAGUUGUGGGAGUAGAAGGGAGGGUAGGUUGGUUCGGGAUAGACUGGAUGUAGAAGCAUAAAAAUACAACGUGCAUCCCAGAAGGUUUGAGAGUUUUAGGAGAUACAGUUAUAACCACCUAGAUUAUUGUUAUAUAAUUACUAUCAUUAUUAUAUCAUUACUAUUAUUAUUAUAUCAUUACUAUUAUUAUUAUAUCAUUACUAUUAUUAUUAUAUCAUUACUAUUAUUAUAUCAUUACUAUCAUUAUUAUAUCAUUACUAUUAUUAUUAUAUCAUUACUAUUAUUAUUACAUCAUUAAUAUACAUCUAAUAAGCUGACCUGCUAACUUUUAUUAUUCCAGAUUGAAGAGGACGGCUGUAACAGCACUUUGAACUCACCCUACUGAACACUGCUUACCACAGCUGACUAGUUUGCAGAAUGCAGUCAUGACAUGAAAAAAAUUUGGAAGCUUGCUACGCAACAAAGUUUUGUGUUAAACAGGAUAAAAAUGCUACAGAAAGUUAUGAAAUGCUCCAGCCAGUAAUGGAUUAACUUGUUUAAGCUAAGCAUCUGUUUUUCACUGGUACAUUUGUUUUUCACUGGUACAUUUGUUUUUCACUGGUACAUCUGUUUUUCACUGGUACAAGAUUUUCAAGGACAGUUGAGAGGUAUGGGAAGGAGUGGGACAAGGAGUGGUUGAGCAAUUGAUGAAAAUAGAUGAAAAUUGUCUAUAAUGGCAAUAAGCAUACAAUUUGAGGUUUGUGUAACACAAUUAUUCAUGAAGAUCUGAACUUUGAGCAAAGUUCUCAGAGUGUUUGGUGAUGAACUAAAAGAAAUAUGCAUUGGUGACAACAGGAGAUGGUUGAACUCAUUAUCUCCAAUCCAUAAAUACUUGAGUCUCUGGUGACCUAUAACAAAAGCUAGGUCCACUGUUAUGAUCUAGAGAUCAAGUGCCCAAUAGAGGCAUCAUGGCUCCCCCAGGUCCAAGAAGGCCAGGCAAAGUAAGUCCUCUGGGAAGCUUAUGAUGAUCCUCUUUUUCAAUCACAAGAGCAUCAUCUACAUUCACUGAAUUCCCUCUGGCCAGACAGACAACACAGAAUAUUUUGUAGAAGUUUUGAGGAAGUUCAAGAAGAGAUUUUGUCACAAAGGGUCAGAACUCUUCCUCUCAAACUGGUGGUACCUACACCAGGACAAUGCACCAAUCCACAAUUCCAAACUGGUAACCAACUACUUGACAGGGACAAGCAUCAAAACCAUCCAUCACCCUCCCUGAGUUUUGUCAAGCUGAGCAAAUCCCCAACCAUUCCAGUCCAUUGUCAUAUCCUCCAUGAAGCUCAAGAUCUGGAGAUCAUUCUUGACCACUUUAUAUCUCAUAUUUUCCUGGGUCUUCUUUGUCUACAGGUUCCAUCAACAUUUAGCAAUCAGCACAUCUUUAUGUAUAUUUACAUAUUUACCUUUAUAUAUAUUAAAUUCAAUAAUGAAUUAAACAUUAUCGACUGCACAUACUUGUCUUGUUUAUUUGUUGACUCCCUGUGGUAUAGCACCUGGUGGAUGACUCCCUCAUUAUGCUGGGUGCUAAAGCACCUGAAAGUCAUAGAUAGGUGAGAUAAUUUGCCUCUGAUUGAAUUCAGGAGUGAUGGAUAUCGAUAUUUUACCAUUUUUGGGGCUUAUCAACAUCAUGUACCUGAAUUUAACUGGGAAUGAACGGAAUUGCCAGGCUAUCACUAUAUAUAAAUUGCGUAAAAUCUAUUUGCUGGCAUGUCAUGCUAAUGCAUACGUAUAAUUAAAUUCAAUAAUAAAUUAUAAGCAGAAAUAGUGUUGUAAGCAUUAUCAAAUGUACAUACUCAAUGAAUGUGUUUUAUUUGUUCACCAGUUUGCUGUGGAAUAGUACCUGGGGGAUGACUCCCUCAUUAUGGUGGGUGUUGUAGACAGGUGAGACAACUUGCCUCUGAUUAAAUUCAGGAACGAUGGAUACUGAUGUUUCACCAUUUUUUUUGGCUUAUCAGUAUCAUAUAACUUAAUCAAACCAGAAAUGAAUCGAAUCACCAGUCUAUGAAAAAAA